rnacentral:rRNA from 1 species
UACGGAGGAUGCAAGCGUUAUCCGGAAUGAUUGGGCGUAAAGCGUCCGCAGGUGGCUAUGUAAGUCUGCUGUCAAAGCGUCUGGCUCAACCAGAUAAAGGCAGUGGAAACUACAUAGCUAGAGUAAGGUAGGGGUAGAGGGAAUUCCUGGUGUAGCGGUGAAAUGCGUAGAUAUCGGGAAGAACACCAGUGGCGAAAGCGCUCUGCUGGACCAUAACUGACACUGAGGGACGAAAGCUAGGGGAGCGAAAGGG